AGUAUUUUCAAAACACUGCAUACAAAGGACUCAUCACAGGCUCAAUACAGGAGAGUAGGCAACAGUGAGUCAUGCGGGACCACAAUCAACCGUUUCAGCUGCAGAAAUCCCACUUCCACCUGCCUGUCAACUACUCCAAGCCAGAUGAAGACAAAACCAGACCCUCCAACAGCUCGACUAAUUUUCUGCCUGCUGGGACACGCUGCCUCUGACUGCGAGGGACAAGAAGAGACACAUAUCUUCAUUUAUCAAUAAAUGCAAUGGAGGACCUAGAGACCUGAUCCUGAAAUCAUUUGAAUCCUCUAUAAAACGUCUGCUUUAAAACAACCUGUUUAUACAGCAACUGCGACGCUUUCUGGCAUCACAUUAUGAUUUUAGUUCUCAAGUACUGAAAAUACAGUGACACUUCAGAAUAGUUUUCCCAUUAGAGGACCAUUUG